CUGAAAACUGUAACAUCCUGGUUGUUGGAUAGUGGCAGAGACUGUUGUAUCAAACGUGGUGGAAUCAGAGAAUGAGAGGCCUCUAGUGGCCGAAAGGCCAUAUUAGCAUGGGCAGCGCCAUUGAGGGCUUCCACCAUUUUAAUGUAGUCAACUGUCGUGGUUGUUCCAUGUCAUGUCCAACUGGGUCAUCAGGAGUGAUCAGCCAAUCGUGAAGAAGAAAAUUUAGUAAUUCAAAAUGGAAUUUGCCUCAAUAGUCCUUUUGCACAACGUAGCAACGCCCACUUCUGUUCAACUUCUUACCCGAUACAUAGCUUCCUCUCCCGAUUGCAUCCUGUCAUGAUGAUUGUAGCCAUUCUAGCCUCGAAUUCACUCGUUUUAUCAUUAUCUCAGUAUAUUAAUAUAAUCAUAUUAAUAUAAUCAUAUUUCUAUAGCGUUUUUUUAUCGUUCUUGUUGAAAAUUGUUUAUCCGUUCAGUUAGUGAUUCGAUUUUUGUGUUCUGUGUCUUUUUUUGUCUCUUUAGCUAGCAAACGUUAGCUACCAGUAGCUAGCUAAUGUUAGUGCUAACGUUAACAUUAUUAGUUGGUGCAGCAUCUUUAUUGAAAGUUAGGAAGUGAAGAAGAGCAACAUCAAGGUUGAGGCGAGAGGUCAUCUUCAUGGAAUAUUGCUCUGUUCCGUUGUGUACCUCCUCAGCGAAAUACUCCUCGUUGAGUUUUCACUCAUUUCCAAGUGAUACUGAGCUAAGAGUAAAAUGGGUCAUCAAUAUUCGCAGGGAAAAGUUCCCCAUCACAAGUCACUCCCAAGAUUUGUGGUAGACACUUUUUACCACAUGAUUUCAUUGAACCAUGUGUGCUUCGACAUCUGAAGAAGGGAGCAGUACCUUUGCUAUUCCAGUGGAAUAACUAAGCAAGAGCAAGUGUUUGGGAAAGAAGGGAGACCAAGGACUGGAUGUGUAGAGGACAACCAUGUUGAAGAUGGAAAGGAUGAAAAGAUGGAUUGCUAACAUGACCAUGACUACUGUGCAGUGGCUGGGCCCGAUGUAGUUGACCUGGUUUUGAUUGAGAGGGAAGAGAUGCAGAGAGCGAUUGAGGACCUAUUGAACAAAGUAGAGGAGUUGACUGUGAGAAGUUAUUUUGGGCUGCAGCGAUUUGUGGGAUCAGAGGCACAGAUCCAGUCCUUCACAAGGAGAGCCAAGCUGCGGAAUGAGGUGACACUUCCAUGUACCUACUCAAGACAUGCCCUAUCCAUGCUGGAUGAGCUGUUCCACUUCCUCAUGUACUUGUUCUUGGGUUCAACUGAGAUGGACCUCGCUAACCGAUUUGGCAUCCAUCACUCAACAGUAAGCAGGAUCGUUGUCACAUGGGCCAACUACCUUUUACAUUCUGCUGGGGUCUGUCUCUAUAUUGAUGUCUUCGGAAGAUGUCAAGGCUGUGUUGCCGAAGGAGUUCAUUAGGUAUCCAGACACCCAAGUCAUCAUUGACUGUACCGAGUUGAGAUGCCAGUAGCCAGCCAGUCUCCCUCUACACAGUGAGAUGUACUCUCAUUACAAGUCCCACUGUACCUUGAAAGUCCUGCUUGGGAUGGCCCCACAUGGAGCAGUUACUUUUGUGUCAGAAUUGUAUGCUGGCUCCAUCAGCGACGAAGAGCUAUUCAAACAAUCAGGACUGUUUGGCUUGCUCACUGAAGACAUGGCAGUGAUGGCAGACAAGGGGUUCCUGAUUGAUGACUGUGUGCCAGGCAAGGUCUACCGUCCACCCUUUCUGUCUUAACAGAGCCAAAUGCCAGCAGCACAGGUCCAUCAAACGCAAUAGAUUGCUCAUCUUAGAGUCCACAUUGAGAAAUGAAUUGGCAGAAUUAAACUGAAAAAGCUGUGUCAGUCAGAGAUCCCCAUGUCACUGAUGGGACGCAUCAACUGCAUCUGGGCUGUGGCUUGCCUUCUCACAAACUACCAGUGUGGGCCUCUUGCGAAGGCAUAGGCCAAGGAGCUACUACUGCAAUGCAUCUUUCCUUGUUUUGCUGUGACCGUCCACAUUGUCUAACACCUUGUAGUCCAUUUAUUGAUAAACACCACUGCUUAUCCUCCAAACACAAAAUGUUGUAAAGAGUUUUUAUUUACAGUGACAAGAGAACAGAAAAAAUGUAACUGAAUUAUUUGAAAUGAUUUAUUUAUUAAUGUCAGCUGUUGGUGCUGUGCCUUUGAGGAUCCUUUCAGCUAGAUUGCCUGCGGAUGUCAGCCCUCUCACAUGUCAAGCCUCUCGGAACCAUGACGAGGUCAGUCUUGGUUUCCGGAGCACCUGCCAGUCAGAGACAGCACUCUGUUCUUUAGUAGCUUCCUCUAUUUUAAGGGCUGUUGCGAAGCUCACCUGAAAAAAACUAUAGUAGCCAUCCAGGGGGCAGUGAAGGGAAUGAUGGUGUCUCCUUAUGGUGAACUAUGUGUCACGUUGUGAUUGGAGGCUGCUGGUAAGACAGGAGGCUCCCAACCUGUACCUUUCCAAAGUGGGAGCUUUUCAGCAGACAUCCCCAUGCUGCAGAUCAAUGGCUUGGAUAGAGGGUCAAAGUUCUUGUGUGCCUCUUCUAUCUGGAGAACUGAGAGGUCAGGGAGAGGUCCAACAAGGGCGCUGUAGAAUGUACUUCUGCAAAGCAGCCGCUGUGGUUAGCCAAUCUAAACAAUGUACUUGAAACCACCUGAAAUUCAAUUAUUUUAUAUAGUCAAAGUGUAAUAGGACAUGAGCGGUGUCAUGACUCUCUCUCCUUGGUGAGGAUCAAAGGUGCCGGAUAAAGUAGGCAGCCAAACUGACAGUCAGCCAAACUCUCUCUCUCUCUCUGUCCUGGGGGAGUUGGCCCAGUUUUUUAACUUAACAACCGUUAUCGUAAAUACUUUGCAGAAACUCUCCCUUUGCCUCUGCAGUAUUGGGAAAGACAUCCUUUGUAUUACAGAAGAGAGACUCUUGUCCAAAACUUCAAACAAUAGACAUUGGGGCAAAAUACUUCAACAUCCAAACGCUGGGGAUGACGAGGGAUGGCAUAUGGGAAAUUAAUGUCUAUUUUGUGAUGUCAUUAAAAUGAUCAGAAAGACGUUAUAACGGAAACAUUGUAACAAUAAGAGCUUUCACAAUGUAUAUAUCAGAUUUGCAUCUAAAUGUUGUAAAACGUAUGAUUAUUAAAUAUGAAACUAUUUGUAAGUAAAGUAAAUAUAUUUCGAAAAUGUAAAAAAAAACUAUGUAUUAUUAGCUAAUUAGCUAUGGUGCAGGCUAACUCAAAUGAGCUGCUAAAUGAGCUAACUAGUUAACUAUCUAGCCAACUUCACAUACUGUAUAGAUAGCUAACUAAGUGAAUGAAAUAUCACCAUCUACCUAACUCCAUAUUAGCUAGCUAUCUUGAUAUAUUUAUCACUGUAAAAAACAAACUCAAAAUGCAUUUGUAGGUAGCUAGCGAACAGCCAUGGAGGAGGGUGAAAAGAUAGCAGCCCCAACUGUCAGUGAGAGAGUAGGCUAUUCUGGAUAGGGCAGGUACUUUUGUGUAGUUCCUGUCCCUAGAAGUGAGGACGGAGAUAAUAGUAACAUAAUAUUUGGUGUGGUGUAAUUUGACUAUAAUGAAGUCUGUUUCUUGUGAGGUUUUCUGUCCUCAGAUAAAGAGAGCUAUGAAAGCCAGUCUACAUAUGAAGAGGUCCCAAUGAAGAGCAGUGGUUCUCAGUCCUGGUCCUGGGGACUCAAAGGGAUACCUUGUAAUUGGAGAUUCCUUCAAAACCAUUGCCUACAGUUAGCGUGUAGGGCACUGCAAGGUUGGGUGAUCAGGGCCAUCUGGGACUGCCUCCUGGAGGAAUUCAGGUGUGUGAAGGCUACCUGUGUCCUGCAUAACUUCAUGAAGAUGGACACGAGGACCAGGAGUGGAUCUGCAGCUUGCCGCCGUGUGCCAGAGGAGAAGUCUGGUGCUCUGCAGGAUGUUUCAAGGUUGGGGUCCAGCAACGCAGCAAGAGAGGCAAUCCGUGUGCUGGAGCUCGUCACCUCCUACUUCUUCGAAGAGGGUGCUGUUCCCUGGCAACACCAUAGACUACAUUAUGCACAACCAAAGGCUAUUUUAAGAGCCAUCCACAUUGCAAUAAGAGUAUUCUUCCAUUUACUGAGCUAUGUCAACUGCAGUUAUUCAAUUCCCAGUUUCUCUCCCUUUGAUUUCUACUUCUCAGGUGAGGGUGCUGUUUAGAUAAGGGUGUGAUGUCUGUAGAAAAACAAAACAGGCUAUUUAAAUCACCCAUAUUGAAAAAAUGUAGAACAAUUAGACACCCUGUAACCCACACCUACACACUCAUAAGCAGGCUCAGGUGUAUAAAAAAAAGGUAAGAGGGCCAACCAUGGAGAAUAAUAAGACACGUCAUUAUUUCUAUUACCACGCUAUUUUGUUUGUCCUCAUGUGUUCAUUCAUGUUUUUCAGCAUAAAGUACUCUGCAGCUACUUAGUGGACACCAGGUUAUAUCAGCUGUGUUGGUGAACCCCUCCCUCAUCUGAACUGGCUACAUAGAGGGCACAGCAUGAUCAGAGAUGUGUUUUGUUGUGAGAGAGGAUGCCAACCCCCAGUCCCAUCAUCGCAACCUCACCCGCUUUUAAGAUAACCUUCAGGCUGACUAGAGACACUUAUGUAAUUGUGAUGAACUGAGAGAAUAUUUGUGUAGCACUGAUUCAUUAUUCAUAUCCCUGCUCCUAUGUUCUUACCUCUUUCCCUUUCUGUCUUUUACACCUCUCUCGCCACCUCCUCUUUCUUCCUCUGUUUUUAUAAUUCACAACAGAUGUGCAUUGAAGUACAGAUUGAACUUGUAUUUAUAAUAUUACAAUUAUAAUAUUAAUGCAUGUAUUUAUAACACUUGGAUAAUGAACUUCUUUCAAUAAAGUGUUUCACAUUCUCUACU
rnacentral:lncRNA from 1 species